rnacentral:lncRNA from 1 species
GCACAGGUGAACGAUCGGCGAACCGUCGUCUACGGCAAGGAUGACACUAUCCAAGAUUGUUGCUUCUCGCAUCGCCGUUUUAAUAAUACUCGCUGUUUUCCUAAGAUUCACGUUUGGAGGUAAACUGAGUCAAACAACGGAGCCAGUGAAAGGAUGCCCCAUCGUGAAAGGAGAUUUCACUUUUCCGCCGCGCAAUACGUCUCUACUGGGACAAUAUUGCGCAUUAGGCAACGGCGAGAAAAUCCAAAAUACGAGAGAAACGGACCCUCGCUGGAUUGGAUCGCUCACCUUUAAUGGCACUUGUCAUGUUUGCUGCGCUCGUGGAGGUGCCUUUACAAACACAACCUAUUCCGUGAUUAAUAAGCUUCCCAAAAAGAUAUGCAAAAAACGAAAAUCAGCG